rnacentral:rRNA from 1 species
UAGGGAAUAUUGGGCAAUGGGCGAGAGCCUGACCCAGCCAUGCCGCGUGCAGGAAGACGGCCCUCUGGGUUGUAAACUGCUUUUGAAUGGGAAGAACGGUAAGCCUGCGGGCUUAAUUGACGGUACCAUUAGAAUAAGCCACGGCUAACUACGUGCCAGCAGCCGCGGUAAUACGUAGGUGGCGAGCGUUAUCCGGAUUUAUUGGGUUUAAAGGGUGCGUAGGCGGCUUAAUAAGUCGGUGGUCAAAGGUAGCAGCUUAACUGUUUUACAUGCCACCGAUACUGUUGAGCUUGAGAUAUGUGGAGGCAGAUGGAAUUUCCGGUGUAGCGGUGAAAUGCAUAGAUACCGGAAGGAACUCCUAUUGCGAAGGCAAUCUGCUACAGAUAAACUGACGCUGAUGCACGAAAGCGUGGGGAUCAAACA